rnacentral:rRNA from 1 species
UACGUAGGUGGCAAGCGUUAUCCGGAAUUAUUGGGCGUAAAGCGCGCGCAGGCGGUUUCUUAAGUCUGAUGUGAAAGCCCACGGCUCAACCGUGGAGGGUCAUUGGAAACUGGGAAACUUGAGUGCAGCAGAGAAGAGUGGAAUUCCACGUGUAGCGGUGAAAUGCGUAGAGAUGUGGAGGAACACCAGUGGCGAAGGCGACUCUUUGGUCUGUAACUGACGCUGAGGCGCGAAAGCGUGGGGAGCAAACAGG